rnacentral:rRNA from 1 species
CGGGGUAGUCAAUUGGUUGUUAUAUCUCCACUAAUGAGCGGAGAGGAGUAAAAAUCUUCAAAGUAAGUUAUGUGGGUCAAGGUAUGAUGAUUAAUUGGAGUUCUAGUUCAUUUACUUUGAGAAAAUUAGAGUGUUUAAAGCAGCCUCUUGGGGCACUGAAUACAUUAGCAUGGGAUAAUAAAAUAGGAUCUUCACAAUAUAUUUUAUUGGUUUAAAUUGCGUAUGAAGAUAAUGAUUAAUAGGGAUAGUUGGGGUAUUCAUAUUGGGUGGUUAGCGGUGAAAUGCUCGGAUCCAUUCAAGAUGAACUAAAGCGAAAGCAUUUACCAAGGAUGUUUUCAUUAAUCAAGAACGAAAGUUAAGGGGAUCGAAGACGAUUAGAUACCGUCGUAGUCUUAACUGUAAACUAUGCCGACCAGGGAUAUGAGUUGUUAGGAUUAUAUGAAAAUAUAAUCAAUUUCUUCUUAUGGACCUUGUGAGAAAUCAUAAGUUUUUGGGUUCUGGGGGGAGUAUGGUCGCAAGGCUGAAACUUAAAGGAAUUGACGGAGGGGC